UACGUAGGGUGCGAGCGUUAAUCGGAAUUACUGGGCGUAAAGUGUGCGCAGGCGGCCGCGCAAGUCGAGUGUGAAAUCCCCGAGCUUAACUUGGGAAUUGCGCUCGAAACUACGUGGCUGGAGUGUGGCAGAGGAAGGUGGAAUUCCACGUGUAGCGGUGAAAUGCGUAGAGAUGUGGAGGAACACCGAUGGCGAAGGCAGCUUUCUGGGCCAACACUGACGCUCAUGCACGAAAGCGUGGGGAGCGAACAGG
rnacentral:rRNA from 1 species